AAACCAUGUUGUGGGCAUGAACAAAUAAGAUCCUUGAACCUCUCCCACUUGGAAGAAUGUUUUAUCCUCCUUUUAGACAAAGUUCAUGAUUGACUUUCUGAGGGU